rnacentral:rRNA from 1 species
CCCUUAGAUGUUCUGGGCCGCACGCGUGCUACACUGAGUGGAUCAGCGGGUCAGGUUGCGCGAAAGCGUUUCCUAAUCUUUAAAUCCGCUCGUGAUGGGGAUUGACGGUUGCAAUUUUCUGUCAUGAACGAGGAAUUCCUUGUAAGCGCGGGUCAUCAUCCCGCGCUGAAUACGUCCCUGCCCUUUGUACACACCGCCCGUCGCUCCUACCGGUUGAGUGGUCCGGUGAGGCUUUGGGAUCUGAGCGGAAAGAGCGUUUCGCUGUUUCUGCUCGGAAAACUCAGUCGAACCUUAUCAUUUAGAGGAAGGAGAAGUCGUAACA